rnacentral:rRNA from 1 species
UGCGUAGGUGGUUUGAUAAGUCAGAGGUGAAAGCCCACCGCUUAACGGUGGAAUUGCCUUUGAUACUGUCAGACUUGAAUAAGGUUGAGGUCGGCGGAAUGUGUCAUGUAGCGGUGAAAUGCAUAGAUAUGACAUAGAACACCAAUUGUGAAGGCAGCUGGCUAGACCUUUAUUGACACUGAGGCACGAAAGCGUGGGGAGCGAACAGGAUUAGAUACCCUGGUAGUCC